AUGUCACAGACAGGGCUGGCACAGACAGGAUGUCACAGACAGGAGUGUCACAGACAGGAGUGUCACAGACAGGAUGUCACAGACAGGGCUGGCACAGACAGGAUGUCACAGACAGGAGUGUCACAGACAGGAGUGUCACAGACAGGAUGUCACAGACAGGGCUGGCACAGACAGGAUGUCACAGACAGGAGUGUCACAGACAGGAGUGUCACAGACAGGAUGUCACAGACAGGGCUGGCACAGACAGGAUGUCACAGACAGGAGUGUCACAGACAGGAGUGUCACAGACAGGGCUGGCACAGGAUUGUUACAGACAGGACUGUCACAGACAGACUGUCACAGACAGGAUUGUCACAGACAGGAGUGUCACAGACAGGAGUGUCACAGACAGGAUGUCACAGACAGGAUGUCACAGAUAGUGCUGGCACAGACAGGAGUGUCACAGGAGUGUCACAGACAGGGCUGGCACAGACAGGGCUGGCACAGGAUUGUCACAGACAGGAGUGUCACAGACAGGAUGUCACAGACAGGAUGUCACAGAUAGUGCUGGCACAGACAGGAGUGUCACAGGAGUGUCACAGACAGGGCUGGCACAGACAGGGCUGGCACAGGAUUGUCACUGAUAGGAUUGUCACAGACAGGAUUGUCACAAACAGGGCUGCCACAGACAGGAGUGUCACAGGAUUGUCACACACAGGGCUGGCACAGACAGGGCUGGUACAGACAGGAGUGUCACAAACAGGGCUGCCACAGACAGGAGUGUCACAGGAUUGUCACACACAGGGCUGGCACAGACAGGGCUGGCACAGACAGGAGUGUCACAGACAGGGCUGCCACAGACAGGAGUGUCACAGGAUUGUCACACACAGGGCUGGCACAGACAGGGCUGGUACAGACAGGAGACAGACAGGAUGUCACAGACAGGGCUGGCACAGACAGGAUGUCACAGACAGGAGUGUCACAGACAGGAGUGUCACAGACAGGAUGUCACAGACAGGAUGUCACAGAUAGUGCUGGCACAGACAGGAGUGUCACAGGAGUGUCACACACAGGGCUGGCACAGACAGGGCUGGCACAGGCCUGUCACAGGGCUGGCACAGACAGGAGCUGGGGAUCAGCUGUGCCCCCCGUGCGACAGACAAAGCGUUGUUCUCUCUGCAGCUCCUCAGCAGCGCCUGCUGCCCCGCGCAAAGGGCACGCUGGCAGAGCGCUUUGGCAGGAGCAGGGCCGGCAGCUCUCUGAGCUCAGCUCUGAGCCGGGCCCAGCUCCCGCCCUGCGCGGGGCAGAACACACCUGUGCCCUCUGCCGCCGCUGCUGCUGCUGCGUGCCAGGCGCAGCCAGGGCUUCGCCCACAGCUUUGCAGGGCACUCACAAAGUGACGGGGAGGCUUUUGCAAGUCGGCCUUUGAUGUUUUACCUUCGGUUCGCAGAGCUUUGGAACAUUCUCAUGCCAAACACCUGAUUGAUUGCUUUUUUUCUGCUUCCCAAGCUCCCGAUGCCUCCUCCCAGCUGCUCUGUUGCACCUCCUCUCUUGUUGCAUUUGCUCCUCUUCAUCUAGAAAUAAAAGAAGCAUUAACCGCUGCGGUGCACUGCCCCUGCCAGGGAUUUUGGGGAUCUCCCAGAGCUGGCACCCCAGCACAGGGCUUGGUGUUGGCCCAGCCAGGGUAGGGCAGGGCACCAGCCUGGGCCCCCAGAGCCCCCCUGCCCCGUCUGAUGGGACAGGGAGAGAAACCAGCACGGUGAGAGAGCAGACAGAGGGCUCCAGCCUGGGCCUGGGCUGCAAUCUGGGCACUCCCACGGUGGCUGCCCAUGGCAGCACAAGGCACUUGUCACUCAGCUCGUGUCACACUCAGCCCCUGCCGCCUGUCCUGGCCUCUUCAGCCCUCCUUGGUGUUCGUCAGAGGAGUCCCAGCCAGGGAAGGAAUUCUGGAGAGGCUCUGCCCGGUGGCCAGGCACGCUCUGGGGCAGGAGCAGAGCCAGUGCCACAGCUCUGCAGCCCAGGGCAGGGAGUUCACUGCCACAGCUCCAUCCUGCCAAGUGCCCCAUUAGCAUUCUGCACCAGCCUGCCUUCCAUAAGCCGCUCUGACUCCCGAAGAUAAAAAAGUAAUAACACUGCCCUCCAUUAUUUAUGAGCUGCCUUUUUGUCUCCCGGCAGAAAUCCUUCCUGCUCCCUGCGCUGAGCUGCUCCCAGAUGUGAUGUUGGUGUUCCACCAGCACCCAGGGCUCCAGCGGGCUCCGGGAAAUCCAUCUCCUGGCCCAGGAGUCGUACUGCAGAGAUGGCAGGCACUGGUUCACUCCUGCCCUGCUUUCCUGGGUGGCCUCACAGCCCUGGGACAAUUCCCUGCACCUGGCAGGACAAAAGGUGGCAAUCAGGGGCUGCCUGGGUGGGGUCCCCACAAGGGCACUUGCCUUUUGCCCCCAUUUCAGCACUAUUAAAUCGCUGAAUUUGAAAUUAUUUUGCCUCCAAACUCUAAAAUUAACACUUCAAACCAAGCAAUUUCAGGAAAUGUAUACAAACCACCACACACGAGCUCACUGUUCAGGCUGGGCUGCAGGGGUUUCUCUGCUCUCUGGGGUCCUGUGGGUGUUUUUUUGGUAGCUAGGGGUCCCUGGUGUCUUGGCCAAGCUUUUCUGGGGGAUUUUCUCCCCCUUGGAGCUGCCAGUGCCUCCCUCCCUGCGCUCUGCCCAGAUCAGGGACUCGAGCACUGCUGUCC
ensembl:lncRNA